rnacentral:rRNA from 1 species
ACACAAAAAUGCACAUAUUGUGAGCUCGAUGAGUAGGGCGGGACACGUGGUAUCCUGUCUGAAUAUGGGGGGACCAUCCUCCAAGGCUAAAUACUCCUGACUGACCGAUAGUGAACCAGUACCGUGAGGGAAAGGCGAAAAGAACCCCGGCGAGGGGAGUGAAAAAGAACCUGAAACCGUGUACGUACAAGCAGUGGGAGCCUCUUUUAUGGGGUGACUGCGUACCUUUUGUAUAAUGGGUCAGCGACUUAUAUUCUGUAGCAAGGUUAACCGAAUAGGGGAGCCGAAGGGAAACCGAGUCUUAACUGGGCGUUAAGUUGCAGGGUAUAGACCCGAAACCCGGUGAUCUAGCCAUGGGCAGGUUGAAGGUUGGGUAACACUAACUGGAGGACCGAACCGACUAAUGUUGAAAAAUUAGCGGAUGACUUGUGGCUGGGGGUGAAAGGCCAAUCAAACCGGGAGAUAGCUGGUUCUCCCCGAAAGCUAUUUAGGUAGCGCCUCGUGAACUCAUCUCCGGGGGUAGAGCACUGUUUCGGCAAGGGGGUCAUCCCGACUUACCAACCCGAUGCAAACUGCGAAUACCGGAGAAUGUUAUCACGGGAGACACACGGCGGGUGCUAACGUCCGUCGUGAAGAGGGAAACAACCCAGACCGCCAGCUAAGGUCCCAAAGUCAUGGUUAAGUGGGAAACGAUGUGGGAAGGCCCAGACAGCCAGGAUGUUGGCUUAGAAGCAGCCAUCAUUUAAAGAAAGCGUAAUAGCUCACUGGUCGAGUCGGCCUGCGCGGAAGAUGUAACGGGGCUAAACCAUGCACCGAAGCUGCGGCAGCGACGCUUAUGCGUUGUUGGGUAGGGGAGCGUUCUGUAAGCCUGCGAAGGUGUACUGUGAGGUAUGCUGGAGGUAUCAGAAGUGCGAAUGCUGACAUAAGUAACGAUAAAGCGGGUGAAAAGCCCGCUCGCCGGAAGACCAAGGGUUCCUGUCCAACGUUAAUCGGGGCAGGGUGAGUCGACCCCUAAGGCGAGGCCGAAAGGCGUAGUCGAUGGGAAACAGGUUAAUAUUCCUGUACUUGGUGUUACUGCGAAGGGGGGACGGAGAAGGCUAUGUUGGCCGGGCGACGGUUGUCCCGGUUUAAGCGUGUAGGCUGGUUUUCCAGGCAAAUCCGGAAAAUCAAGGCUGAGGCGUGAUGACGAGGCACUACGGUGCUGAAGCAACAAAUGCCCUGCUUCCAGGAAAAGCCUCUAAGCAUCAGGUAACAUCAAAUCGUACCCCAAACCGACACAGGUGGUCAGGUAGAGAAUACCAAGGCGCUUGAGAGAACUCGGGUGAAGGAACUAGGCAAAAUGGUGCCGUAACUUCGGGAGAAGGCACGCUGAUAUGUAGGUGAAGUCCCUCGCGGAUGGAGCUGAAAUCAGUCGAAGAUACCAGCUGGCUGCAACUGUUUAUUAAAAACACAGCACUGUGCAAACACGAAAGUGGACGUAUACGGUGUGACGCCUGCCCGGUGCCGGAA